AAGCUUGCGUUUGCCGAGUUUUGAAACAUAUAUGAGUAGAGUGCUUGUCGACAGUCGACACGAUAUAUACCAUUAAAAUUUCACACUCAAAACGUCCAGAUUUCAUUGUUCCGAUCUAAUGCAACGUAACCAAACGUUCAAAUAUUAAACGCAAAGAAAUGUGUUAAAGUUAUCAAGUUUUACGGUUGAAUGAGAAUAAUAUAAAUAUUCAUAUGAUAUCAAUACCUCUACAUCGCUGUCUUCUUCGUCCAUUUUGAUGAAAGUGACUAGCUUCAACAUUAAUAUUAUCA
rnacentral:lncRNA from 1 species